UACGUAGGGUGCGGGCGUUAAUCGGAAUUACUGGGCGUAAAGCGUGCGCAGGCGGUUGUGCAAGACAGAUGUGAAAUCCCCGGGCUUAACCUGGGAAUGGCAUUUGUGACUGCACGGCUAGAGUGUGUCAGAGGGGGGUGGAAUUCCACGUGUAGCAGUGAAAUGCGUAGAUAUGUGGAGGAAUACCGAUGGCGAAGGCAGCCCCCUGGGAUAACACUGACGCUCAUGCACGAAAGCGUGGGGAGCAAACAGG
rnacentral:rRNA from 1 species